GAGAGAUAGGAUUCUCAUCAAAGAGCUUA
rnacentral:piRNA from 1 species